rnacentral:rRNA from 1 species
AUCUACUGCCAUGCCACCCUGAACAAGCCCGAUCCUGUCCGAUCUCGGAAGCUAAGCAAGGUCGGGCCUGGUUAGUACUUGAAUGGGAGACCACCUAGGAAGACCAGGAGCUGUAGACA